rnacentral:lncRNA from 1 species
AUGCUUAGUCUCUCUCACAUUGGAUUAGAAGCAGAAAUCUGUCUACCUGACUUUCCUCACCACCCUGUGUGCGAAGCUGUGUUUAUAUCACGUGACUCUCAUGAAUUCUGCGCCGUGGAGCUGCAGAGAAAAUCUGCAGUCUCUCCCCAGCGAGAGUCGCUUCGACUCCUCUUCUGUCUUCCCCCUUGAUCCUUGCGCUGUCUGCCUGAGACCAGACUGUCUGAAGGGAGCUUGCCUGGAGCUCAUGUCACAUCUUGCAGCUGC